UGCAUGGUCCUAAUCAAUUUUAACUUCAGUAUUUCAUUUCAGGAGACGAAAACUGAACACAAAAGAUCGCACUGAGCAGAGACCUGUUCCAGAAAAGACUGAAAACACUCUAGAAACGACACAUGGUGCAGCUGAAGGAUCUAUCUACGUCAAUGUUGAACCAUCUGCAAGAAAUUCAACUGAAACCCUUGACAUAAACGAGACUAACGUCAGUGAUAUAUUGCCAAUAGUUGAUCGAGCAGAACCUGUAGGGGAACAGACAGAUGAAGAGGAGGAAGUUCAGGAUUCUAACACGUAUUACAAUGAUGUACAACCAGCUCCUCUUCCGUUCAAUCUGCCAGAAGAUGGUUUUGACGUCUCAGAACUUGAAGAUACCAUAAUGAACAUCAGGAGACAGCCUGGAGGAUUUGAAGCAGAAUAUCUCAAACUACCAAGUGGGUUCAAGCAUCCAUACACCGAUUCACAGAUACAAGAAAACAGAUGCAAGAACAGAUUUGCUGGUUACUACCCCUGUGAGUUCAUUAUCGCAAUCACGAACAGAAACACACCUGUGUUAAUAUUUGACGUAAAUGUCGUAGCUUCUGUUUGUAUACAGUCAUCUGGCCAAAAGAAUCUUGAGAUUAGAUACAAUUCCAAGAGUGUUUGAUGUUAUUGUAUCAUUAAAAUGGCAGAUUUGUUCUUAGCUCGAAUCACCUACAACCUACCACGCCCCCCCCCCCACCCCUUAUUGAUAUUGAUAGGAGGAGGGCUGGAGGUGACUCGAGCUAAUUUGUUCUGCU